GUCUCUACGACCCUUGAAUCAAACACACACACACACACACACACAUCCUCAGAGAUCGAAUCAGAGGUUCAUGUUUAGAUAUUAUAAUCAUAAACAUUCAUUUAGUACUACUAUCAUUUUUUUUACACCUAUUCUUUUGCUAUUUGUUGCAGGAAAUUUCGUGUUUACAAUGACAAAAUGGAAUAUGCCGAGUAUUAAAAGAAGACAACAUUCAGAGUAUCUUCUCCAAUGUUUGAGUAAAUCUAGUGUUGUUGAAAGCCUGAGACUAGAUUGUUCUAUAUUGCCGGAGUGUGCAACACAUCCUUUAGUAUCAUGGCUUUUUCAAAGCAGAAUAGGUCUUGAAAGGGAAACGAUCAUAGCAAACAUGCCUUCAAAAGUCAAGUGAUCAAGCAUUCUAGGGAGAACUCCUCCUCCAGUUCUUGUUCCCUCGUCCCUUCCUUAAAGUGAAGUCAAGUGAUCAAGCUUUCUAGGGAGAACUCCUUUGUCUUUGGGGGAAAGAGUUUUUGAAAUUUUCCAGGUUGGUGGUAGCUUUUCAAUGAUUAUGACAACUUGAAAUUGAUCAGCUAAAACCAUACCUUCAAAAGUAAUUUCAUGAGCAAUUUUAUGUAAUUGAUGAGAUUGUGCUUCAACAGAUUUAUCAUCAACCAUCUGAUAUUUCAAAUAAUGACUAACAGUAAAUUUCUUGGCCCCAGUUUGUUCAGUGUCAUAUUUUUUUUCUUCUGAAUUGUAUCCCAUAAAUCUUUAUAGUGCCAUAAUCAGAGUAGUGAUAAAAAAGAUCACUACAAUUAGCCUUCAAUACUUGUACCUCCACCAUCUCUUUCUUUCCAUCCUUUUCUACUUCUUGUAUUUAUGAGACGGUACACUUAGUGACAUGAUCCCAAACCCAAGAUCUCUCAAAAGAAGAUCUCUCUAAUGUAGCUAAUAUAGUUGGUUGUUUUGUCUUUGGAAUAGGUGGUGCUUUUCUUUUUCUGGAGGAGGAGGGUUUUGGGGGAGGCAUUGAUGAUUUUGACUAUGUGGGUUGUGCUUGUGUUGGUGGUUAUGGAGGACAUGGUGAUGGUGAUGUAGCCGUAGAUGAUGCUACAUUAGUACUAGGGGUACUUUGGCUUUGAGAUUGAGACAUUAUGUAAAAUUCUGCAAAAUAUUAAAUAAUGAAAGUAUAUUCAUUAAUCAAAUAAAGAUAUUUCA